rnacentral:rRNA from 1 species
GACGAACCGUGCGAACGUUGUUCGGAAUCACUGGGCUUAAAGGGCGCGUAGGCGGCCCGCCGCGUCCGGGGUGAAAUCCUCCCGCUCAACGGGAGAACGGCCUCGGAUACGGGCGGGCUGGAGGCGGGUAGGGGCACGCGGAACUGUGGGUGGAGCGGUGAAAUGCGUUGAGAUCCACAGGAACUCCGGUGGCGAAGGCGGCGUGCUGGACCCGAUCUGACGCUGAGGCGCGAAAGCCAGGGGAGCGAACGGG